rnacentral:rRNA from 1 species
UGGGUAGGGGAGCGUUGUGUAAGCCGUUGAAGGUGGAUUGAGAAGUCUGCUGGAGGUAUCACAAGUGCGAAUGCUGACAUGAGUAACGAUAAUGGGGGUGAAAACCCCCCACGCCGGAAGACCAAGGGUUCCUAUCCCAUGCUAAUCAGGGUAGGGUGAGUCGGCCCCUAAGGCGAGGCUGAAAAGCGUAGUCGAUGGGAAACGGGUUAAUAUUCCCGUACUGCUUUAUACUGCGAUGGGGUGACGGAGAAGGCUAGGCAAGCGCGGCGUUGGUAGUCCGCGUGAAAGUGAGUAGGUUGAGAGUUUAGGCAAAUCCGGACUCUUAAGACUGAGACACGAGACGAGACUCUACGGAGUUGAAGUUGUUGAUGCCCUGCUUCCAGGAAAAACCUCUAAGCAUCAGGUAUAAAGAACCGUACCCGAAACCGACACAGGUGGUCAGGUAGAGAAUACUAAGGCGCUUGAGAGAACUCGGGUGAAGGAACUAGGCAAAAUAGUACCGUAACUUCGGGAGAAGGUACGCCCUUAUUUGUGAAGGCCUUGCGCUGUAAGCAGAUGAGGGUCGCAGUGACCAGGUGGCUGGGACUGUUUAUUAAAAACACAGCACUCUGCAAACUCGAAAGAGGACGUAUAGGGUGUGACACCUGCCCGGUGCCGGAAGGUUAAUUGAUGGGGUUAGCUUCGGCGAAGCUCUUGAUCGAAGCCCCGGUAAACGGCGGCCGUAACUAUAACGGUCCUAAGGUAGCGAAAUUCCUUGUCGGGUAAGUUCCGACCUGCACGAAUGGUGUAACCAUGGCCACGCUGUCUCCACCCGAGACUCAGUGAAAUUGAAAUCGCUGUGAAGAUGCAGUGUACCCGCGGCUAGACGGAAAGACCCCGUGAACCUUUACUACAGCUUGGCACUGAACAUUGAACCUACAUGUGUAGGAUAGGUGGGAGGCUUAGAAGCAUUGUCGCUAGAUGAUGUGGAGCCGUCCUUGAAAUACCACCCUUGUAUGUUUGAUGUUCUAACGUAGGUCCCUUAUCGGGAUUGCGGACAGUGCCUGGUGGGUAGUUUGACUGGGGCGGUCUCCUCCCAAAGAGUAACGGAGGAGCACGAAGGUUGGCUAAGUACGGUCGGACAUCGUACGGUUAGUGCAAAGGCAUAAGCCAGCUUAACUGCGAGACAGACACGUCGAGCAGGUGCGAAAGCAGGUCUUAGUGAUCCGGUGGUUCUGAAUGGAAGGGCCAUCGCUCAACGGAUAAAAGGUACUCCGGGGAUAACAGGCUGAUACCGCCCAAGAGUUCACAUCGACGGCGGUGUUUGGCACCUCGAUGUCGGCUCAUCACAUCCUGGGGCUGAAGUCGGUCCCAAGGGUAUGGCUGUUCGCCAUUUAAAGUGGUACGCGAGCUGGGUUUAGAACGUCGUGAGACAGUUCGGUCCCUAUCUGCCGUGGGCGUUUGAGAAUUGAGAGGGGUUGCUCCUAGUACGAGAGGACCGGAGUGAACGAACCGCUGGUGUUCGGGUUGUCAUGCCAAUGGCACUGCCCGGUAGCUACGUUCGGAAUCGAUAACCGCUGAAAGCAUCUAAGCGGGAAGCGAGCCUCGAGAUGAGUUCUCACUGGACUUUAAGUCCCUAAAGGGUUGU